rnacentral:rRNA from 1 species
UACGGAAGGCAGCAGUGGGGAAUAUUGCACAAUGGGCGAAAGCCUGAUGCAGCUAUGCCGCGUGUAUGAAGAAGGCCUUAGGGUUGUAAAGUACUUUCAUCGGGGAGGAAAAAACAAAACUAAUAAUUUUAUUUCUUGACGUUACCCGAAAAAGAAGCACCGGCUAACUCCGUGCCAGCAGCCGCGGUAAUACGGGGGUGCUAGCGUUAAUCAGAAUUACUGGGCGUAAAGAGCACGUAGGUGGUUUUUUAAGUCAGAUGUGAAAUCCCUGGGCUUAACCUAGGAACUGCAUUUUGAAACUGAAAUACUAGAGUAUCGUAGAGGGAGGUAGAAUUCUAGGUGUAGCGGUGAAAUGCGUAGAUAUCUGGAGGAAUACCUGUGGCGAAAGCGGCCUCCUAAACGAAUACUGACACUGAGGGUGCGAAAGCGUGGGGAGCAAACAGGGAUUAGAUACC